rnacentral:rRNA from 1 species
AGUAACACGUGGGUAACCUGCCUGUAAGACUGGGAUAACUCCGGGAAACCGGAGCUAAUACCGGAUAGUUCCUUGAACCGCAUGGUUCAAGGAUGAAAGACGGUUUCGGCUGUCACUUACAGAUGGACCCGCGGCGCAUUAGCUAGUUGGUGAGGUAACGGCUCACCAAGGCGACGAUGCGUAGCCGACCUGAGAGGGUGAUCGGCCACACUGGGACUGAGACACGGCCCAGACUCCUACGGGAGGCAGCAGUAGGGAAUCUUCCGCAAUGGACGAAAGUCUGACGGAGCAACGCCGCGUGAGUGAUGAAGGUUUUCGGAUCGUAAAGCUCUGUUGUUAGGGAAGAACAAGUGCAAGAGUAACUGCUUGCACCUUGACGGUACCUAACCAGAAAGCCACGGCUAACUACGUGCCAGCAGCCGCGGUAAUACGUAGGUGGCAAGCGUUGUCCGGAAUUAUUGGGCGUAAAGGGCUCGCAGGCGGUUUCUUAAGUCUGAUGUGAAAGCCCCCGGCUCAACCGGGGAGGGUCAUUGGAAACUGGGAAACUUGAGUGCAGAAGAGGAGAGUGGAAUUCCACGUGUAGCGGUGAAAUGCGUAGAGAUGUGGAGGAACACCAGUGGCGAAGGCGACUCUCUGGUCUGUAACUGACGCUGAGGAGCGAAAGCGUGGGGAGCGAACAGGAUUAGAUACCCUGGUAGUCCACGCCGUAAACGAUGAGUGCUAAGUGUUAGGGGGUUUCCGCCCCUUA